rnacentral:rRNA from 1 species
CCCUUAGAUGUCCUGGGCCGCGCGCGCGUUACACUGAUGCAUUCAACGAGCUUAUAACCUUGGCCGAGAGGCCUGGGCAAUCUUGUUAACGUGCAUCGUGAUAGGGAUAGAUUAUUGAAAUUAUUAAUCUUGAACGAGGAAUUCCUAGUAAACGCAGAUCAUCAAUCUGCAUUGAUUACGUCCCUGCCCUUUGUACACACCGCCCGUCGCACCUACCGAUUGGAUGGUCCGGUGAAGCCUCGGGAUUGUGGUUCUUGCCGCUUUAUUGUAGCGUGACCGCGAGAACUUGUCUAAACCUUAUCAUCUAGAGGAAGGUGAAGUCGUAACA